UACGUAGGGGGCAAGCGUUUGUCCGGAUUUAUUGGGCGUAAAGAGCUCGUAGGUGGUUCGGUAAGUCGGAUGUGAAAUCUCCAGGCUCAACCUGGAGGGGUCAUUCGAUACUGCCGUGACUAGAGGUCGGUAGGGGGAGUGUGGAAUUCCUGGUGGGAGCGGUGAAAUGCGCAGAUAUCAGGAGGAACACCCGUAGCGAAGGCGGGUCUCUGGACAGUUCCUGACGGCUGAGGCAACGGAAAGGUCAGGGGACGCAAACGGG
rnacentral:rRNA from 1 species